UUUACGGAGAAAGCUUUAUGCACCAUUGGAUGAGCCUGCACUUGAUUAGUUAGUUGGUAGGGUAAUGGCCUACCAAGACUUUGAUCAAUAGCUGAUUUGAGAGGAUGAUCAGCCACAUUGGGACUGAGACACGGCCCAAACUCCUACGGGAGGCAGCAGUGGGGAAUCUUGCACAAUGGAGGAAACUCUGAUGCAGCGAUGCCGCGUGAGUGAAGCAGGCCUUUGGGUUGUAAAGGUCUUUUGUCGGGGAAGAA
rnacentral:rRNA from 1 species